rnacentral:rRNA from 1 species
AUAAGCACUUGUACUGUGAAACUGCGAAUGGCUCAUUAAAUCAGUUAUCGUUUAUUUGAUUGUACUUUACUACAUGGAUACCUGUGGUAAUUCUAGAGCUAAUACAUGCGAAAAAUCCCGACUUCUGGAAGGGAUGUAUUUAUUAGAUUAAAAACCAAUGCGAGUCUUCGGKCUCGUUUUCUUGGUGAUUCAUGAUAACUUUUCGAAUCGCAUGGCCUAGCGCCGGCGAUAUUUCAUUCAAAUUUCUGCCCUAUCAACUGUCGAUGGUAAGGUAGUGGCUUACCAUGGUUAUAACGGGUGACGGAGAAUUAGGGUUCGAUUCCGGAGAGGGAGCCUGAGAAACGGCUACCACAUCUAAGGAAGGCAGCAGGCUCGAAAAUUACCCAAUCCCAAUUCGGGGAGGUAGUGACAAGAAAUAACGAUACGGGGUCUUAAUAGGUCUCGCAAUUGGAAUGAGUACAAUUUAAAUCCUUUAACGAGGAUCAA